UUUGCUGAUGUUUUAAAUGGUGAAGAAAGAACUCAGAAAAUGUAUACAACCACUUUUUACAUUUGUGAUGAUCUGAAAAGAAUUUUAACACAAUGUGGCUACUCUUGAGUUGGACAGCGCAAAGAUCAGAAUCCGAGUCCACAAUGGGCACAAACUCUUCAAAACUGGACAAUUGAAGACAGGAAACGGGAUAUUGUGACUGUCCCGGAACGAGAGACACUCAGCGGUAUAAGAAGAGAAACAGUGUGAGAUGAAAAACCAAGAACGGCCAUCUGAGGGACGUCCCAGAAGAAACCUUUAGGAUUCGGUGAAGACCUGAUGUGAACAACUUCAGGAGCCUAAAUCCAGCACCUGAGGAUGCUGUGCGUGUUUAACCCAGUCCUGGAGUCUGUAGCACUUUGUCCUGGACAGCGCCAUACCUGGGGGCAGCCUAAGAUGGAUAAAAAAAAGAAUGAAGAACCUCUGCGGAACCAAAAUGGAAAUGCAUUUGUUCAUUAGAUAUUAAUUUUAUAUCAUUAUACACUAUAUUUUGCCAAAAACUUGUGUGACAACUGACCAUACAAUUGUUUCUUUUUGAUCAUCCUAUUCUACAUUUGCUUUUAUAAUGAGCUCCACUCUUCUGGGAAGAUGUUUCAAUAGAUUUUUGUGUAGAUUUGUCAAUAUCUUCAUUAAGCUGCCUUUGUGCUCCUAGUCAUCUCAAGUGAAGGGAAAAUGUCAUGCUCCUGCAUCCAUAAGACCUCUAAUACAAUUGUGUACCUACAACUUUGUGGGAACAGUUUGGAGAAGAGCAUAUAUGGGAAGAAAAACGCAGGUGUCCUAAUACUUUUAGGCUUUAAUAUAUAAGUUGUAGGUCUCUGUGUUUAAACGGAAGAAACUUUCAGACGAAAAAAAGGCACAUCUACGUUAGGAAUCCUUUUUCUGCGGGGAAAACCGUGUCAAAUCUGAAGCCUUUACAAAUUUAUUUAUAUAUUUAUUUCUAAAGCAUAGCUAAUUAACUCUUUUAGCCAGAGGCUGAAAUAAACAUUAUAUUUACUUUACACGAUGUUUAUUUCCCACGAUCGAGAUACGAAACCUGAAUUUAUGCGCAAACAUAAAAAAGCUGAGGUUUUUAUUUAAAUAACACUAAGAAAAAAAAGGAAAAGAAAAUAUGCUCCUGUGGACAACACACCUCCAUCAGACCCCUGCAAAUGAGAGACGCAAUUACAUCUUCAUUUGUAUUGAUGCCAUUGAAGAAGAAGAAAAAAAAGAGAUAAAUAAAUAAAAUCAUGGAUUGUUCCCUACGCCCUCUUGAUUCACUCCGUGCUUCCACGCUUGGCUUCCCGACGUCAAUAUCUCGGGAUUGUAAUUGGUCACGUUGUGUGUGUGUAUACAAUUCGGUUCGCAGUUAGCAUACCAUCGCAGCUGUUCCCGUUCCUGGGCAGACUGUUAAGCAGUAACACAGCGUCCUGGAGAAAGUAAUAAACAAACACAGGUAAGAAAAGCAGCACAGCUCGAGGACAAAAUCAAUAUGAAGCAAUUAAAGCUUACAGUCCAGGAUGAAGACGUAACGAGAUGAAUGCAGCUGCAGAAACGCAGCCCGGAGAAGCUAAAAGACCUACGCGGUUUUGCGAAAAGUAUGCAGACGCCUGAUUUUUCCAGCAAUAUGUCCUCCUAACUACAAUUUUAGAGCCACACAGUCGUGUAGGACAUCUCUGGUUGCAGGAGCUUGACAUGUUCCCUUCAUGUGAACUUGGAGACAAGUUGACAAUACACCCUGUGCACAAAUCCAGCUCCAUGAAGAUCUGCUUUCCAUGGGUUAAAUGUGUGUGAAAGAUCUUGAGUGGCAUGCUAUUGAACAUCUUUGGGAUGGUUUAGGGUGGAAGGUGGCAGCUCAGCUUUGGAUUCUGGAUUGGAAGGUCACAAAUUCGAAUCUCAGCACCACCAAGGGUCACUGUUGGGCCCUUUGGCAUAUUGGUGUCUUUAAAAUGCCAUUAAUGUAAAUUGGAAUGCCACCUUCUUACUUCCUCGCCUACAUCAGUACUUCACUAUGUGGUUGAACGAAAUCUUGCGAAUCUCCACAAAAUUUAGUGGAACAUCAUCUUGAGGUUCAGAGAAAAUUCUGAAGGAUCCAUUGUCCUUCAUGCAUCACUAUCCUCUAAAAAACUAUUACUUCAUGAUCAGAGUUUCAUUUCAUCCUCGCAGAGCUCCGUCUUCUUAUCUGAUAAUGAUAUUAUUAUUAUAAUUAUUAUAAAGCUAUAAAUCCAUCCCGCCAGCGUGGAUUCUAUUGCCAGCAAUCCUUCGUUUUCCGUUUGGAUAUUCUAACGCUGUAGCAGGAAAAAGUGCUGACUGUCGAUCUGUAGCUGCACGUUUUUUUUUUUCUUCCUCCUCCUUCACUACGAGCUCAGCGGAAAUUAAACCGUUAAUUUUCUGCCUCUAUGACGAAGGGUUGGGGGGUUUUAGGGUUGUGGGGGUGUUGUAGAGAAAGCUGAUUUUCUCCGUCAGGCCAGAACUCGCUGGAUAAAUUGAGUGCGCACCACGUAGAAGAUGCUACGGGCUCUGCAUUAAUGGCGCAUACGGGGUCACGGUGCUGUGAAAUUGGGCCGAGUUCUCUGCUUUUUUUAAUCAAAUGAGCCGGCUCACGAUGACGAGAAGGAAAGCGGUGGACUCUCUUCUGCUCCGCUCGCAUAAAGACUGCAUUCGAAACGUGUUUCUCUGCCGCGAUUCUCGACGCAGGGCAAUACGAUCGGGUUUAUCGAUUCAAAGUACUUAAUUUGUAUUUGUAUUCAUUUUAGCAAUAUAUAUCGACACACAGGAUCCCAAAAAUCAGCAUUGUUAAUGUGAGCUAACGACCACAAAUGAUCAAUUGAGGACCAGAAAAAGGUUUGCAUGUCAUAAUCUGGUUCCAUAAUAAGCCAUGAGUCCACUUUCUGAAUCCACCAAUUACGUUCAAGCAUAUGAACACUUAAUAAUCCUAUAUAUCUGCUGCAAUUCUGUAGGAAUCUUUUGAAAACAUCUCGCUUUCGUUUAAUCCUGAUGCUAAAGCGUGGUCCAUCAAGAGCUCGAGAAUAUGUAUCAUUGUGAAAGAAAAUAGAUGCAUCAUAGAUGCGACAUUCCCAAAAUCAGGAUGUCCAUCGGCCUCCAAGAAACCUAAAUGAGCUGGAGGAACAUCUGGCAGAUACUGGUCAUGUAUCAUGAUAUUCAGUUAUCUACAUUAAGCAGAAUUUAUAUGAAUAAAUAACCUGGUUAGAUUUACACAAAAUUCACCAUUUGGUAUGUACCUCGGUUUUAAGUCA